GGCUCUGUGGUGCAAUGGAUAGCGCAUUGGACUUCUAAUUCAAAGGUUGUGGGUUCGAGUCCCGCCAGAGUCA
rnacentral:tRNA from 1 species